UGGGUUGUGGCUCAGAGGUAGAGCAUUCGCCUAGCAUGCGUGAGGCACUGGGUUCGAUCCUCAGCAUCACAU
rfam:Ictidomys tridecemlineatus contig007920, whole genome shotgun sequence.